AUUGCUACCAUUUACGAUUCUUCAAACGACUCUUCACAUCUCCUGCCCCAAUUCAUGCACCAGAGACGAGAUAGAUGAAUUAUUGCUACCGUUUACGAUUCUUCAAACGACUCUUCACAUCUCCUGCCCCGAUUCGUGCACCAGAGAUGAGAUAGAUGAAUUAUUGCUUCGAUUUGAGGGUCAUUUCCUCUUGCGGACUGUAUAAAUUCCUUUUUUCUUGAUUAGAUAUAGAUCGUCUGUUCUUCCUCCAUUGUCGUGAAACAAAGCGGGGUGCGUACAUCUAGAGGAUUUGUGCUAAUGUCAAGAUCAAAGCCGAAGUAAGUCGAUUUGAGGGUCUGUGUCUAGCCUUCUGCUUCCUCUAAGGUCCAGUACGCUUCUAAAGCCGUCGACAACAGCGGCGAUGCUUGAGGUAGACGAUUUUUGAGGUAGACGAGGUAAGCGAGGAGUUCGCUGCCAAGAGUACGUUUCGGAGCAAGGGAGCAAGCUGGGUUAUGCAUCAUUGAGCGUAAAACAAGGAUUAGUACACUUUCAUCUCUAGAAACAGCAGGAAAAACUUCGCCAUGCAUUUUCAUACAGCUGGAGGCUGUGGUCAUUGCCCGAUAUCAAACACUGCUAAAGGAAGCUGGAUUCCAAUCUGUCUACUUUUAACUUUGCCAAAUGCACUGGGAAAAUGAGGAGUACAGAAGGAUUUGGGGUCAAAAAGGACAUGAAGUACGAUGAGGUGAAAAGAUUUCCAUAAGAGGAUGCAUUGAAUGUAUAUAUUGUUGGUGUUACCAAUUAUUUGUAUUAUUCUGAUAUCUCUAAUAGGGUGCUGCACUGAUUUCAAUGACAAACAGAUCAACAGCAACUGUAGGCAUGAUUAGUUGAAUGUGAGCUAUUUACAUAAUAGAAUUUGUCAACUGCAGGGGAAAAAGUAUGCUUGGGUCUGUGGCCUUUCUGAACAAAUGGGAUUCUAUGGCAUAGGGAUUGCUUAUACUGUUACUUCUGCUAUUAGUAUGAGGUAUUUGUGUUGCCUAGAAUCUCAGUUUGGUAAUAAAUGAAAAAUUAACAAAUAAUCAUUUAGUAUUAAAUUUUAUUCUCUUUGAUGAAGAACAAUGCAACAAUCAAUUUGUUACCACAAAGAAGGGCACAUGCAUAUGAAAUUUAGAUGCAUAUUAGAUGCUAUAUUUAAGAAUUGUUCAAGUUAUGCUGUCACAAACACUGGAUUUUCCAUAACACUCAAUGGCUAUCGAUUGUUACUGCAAUCAUGUCAUU